UACGUAGGGGGCAAGCGUUGUCCGGAUUUAUUGGGCGUAAAGAGCUCGUAGGCGGUUCGACAAGUCGGAUGUGAAAUCUCCACGCUCAACGUGGAGGGGCCAUUCGAAACUGUCGUGACUUGAGUCCGGUAGGGGAGUGUGGAAUUCCCGGUGUAGCGGUGAAAUUCGUAGAUAUUCGGAAGAACACCAGUGGCGAAGGCGGCUCACUGGACUGGUAUUGACGCUGAGGUGCGAAAGCGUGGGGAGCAAACAGG
rnacentral:rRNA from 1 species